rnacentral:rRNA from 1 species
UACGAAGGGGGCUAGCGUUGCUCGGAAUCACUGGGCGUAAAGCGCACGUAGGCGGGUCUUUAAGUCCGGGGUGAAAUCCCGGAGCUCAACUCCGGAACUGCCUUUGAUACUGGAGAUCUUGAGUCCGGGAGAGGUGAGUGGAACUCCGAGUGUAGAGGUGAAAUUCGUAGAUAUUCGGAAGAACACCAGUGGCGAAGGCGGGUCACUGGCCCGGUACUGACGCUGAGGUGCGAAAGCGUGGGGAGCAAACAGG